rnacentral:rRNA from 1 species
GGGUUGUGAGGUUAAGCGACUAAGCGUACACGGUGGAUGCCCUGGCAGUCAGAGGCGAUGAAGGACGUGCUAAUCUGCGAUAAGCGUCGGUAAGGUGAUAUGAACCGUUAUAACCGGCGAUUUCCGAAUGGGGAAACCCAGUGUGUUUCGACACACUAUCAUUAACUGAAUCCAUAGGUUAAUGAGGCGAACCGGGGGAACUGAAACAUCUAAGUACCCCGAGGAAAAGAAAUCAACCGAGAUUCCCCCAGUAGCGGCGAGCGAACGGGGAGCAGCCCAGAGCCUGAAUCAGUGUGUGUGUUAGUGGAAGCGUCUGGAAAGGCGUGCGAUACAGGGUGACAGCCCCGUACACAAAAAUGCACAUAUUGUGAGCUCGAUGAGUAGGGCGGGACACGUGGUAUCCUGUCUGAAUAUGGGGGGACCAUCCUCCAAGGCUAAAUACUCCUGACUGACCGAUAGUGAACCAGUACCGUGAGGGAAAGGCGAAAAGAACCCCGGCGAGGGGAGUGAAAAAGAACCUGAAACCGUGUACGUACAAGCAGUGGGAGCACGCUUAGGCGUGUGACUGCGUACCUUUUGUAUAAUGGGUCAGCGACUUAUAUUCUGUAGCAAGGUUAACCGAAUAGGGGAGCCGAAGGGAAACCGAGUCUUAACUGGGCGUUAAGUUGCAGGGUAUAGACCCGAAACCCGGUGAUCUAGCCAUGGGCAGGUUGAAGGUUGGGUAACACUAACUGGAGGACCGAACCGACUAAUGUUGAAAAAUUAGCGGAUGACUUGUGGCUGGGGGUGAAAGGCCAAUCAAACCGGGAGAUAGCUGGUUCUCCCCGAAAGCUAUUUAGGUAGCGCCUCGUGAAUUCAUCUCCGGGGGUAGAGCACUGUUUCGGCAAGGGGGUCAUCCCGACUUACCAACCCGAUGCAAACUGCGAAUACCGGAGAAUGUUAUCACGGGAGACACACGGCGGGUGCUAACGUCCGUCGUGAAGAGGGAAACAACCCAGACCGCCAGCUAAGGUCCCAAAGUCAUGGUUAAGUGGGAAACGAUGUGGGAAGGCCCAGACAGCCAGGAUGUUGGCUUAGAAGCAGCCAUCAUUUAAAGAAAGCGUAAUAGCUCACUGGUCGAGUCGGCCUGCGCGGAAGAUGUAACGGGGCUAAACCAUGCACCGAAGCUGCGGCAGCGACGCUGAUGCGUUGUUGGGUAGGGGAGCGUUCUGUAAGCCUGCGAAGGUGUGCUGUGAGGCAUGCUGGAGGUAUCAGAAGUGCGAAUGCUGACAUAAGUAACGAUAAAGCGGGUGAAAAGCCCGCUCGCCGGAAGACCAAGGGUUCCUGUCCAACGUUAAUCGGGGCAGGGUGAGUCGACCCCUAAGGCGAGGCCGAAAGGCGUAGUCGAUGGGAAACAGGUUAAUAUUCCUGUACUUGGUGUUACUGCGAAGGGGGGACGGAGAAGGCUAUGUUGGCCGGGCGACGGUUGUCCCGGUUUAAGCGUGUAGGCUGGUUUUCCAGGCAAAUCCGGAAAAUCAAGGCUGAGGCGUGAUGACGAGGCACUACGGUGCUGAAGCAACAAAUGCCCUGCUUCCAGGAAAAGCCUCUAAGCAUCAGGUAACAUCAAAUCGUACCCCAAACCGACACAGGUGGUCAGGUAGAGAAUACCAAGGCGCUUGAGAGAACUCGGGUGAAGGAACUAGGCAAAAUGGUGCCGUAACUUCGGGAGAAGGCACGCUGAUAUGUAGGUGAAGUCCCUCGCGGAUGGAGCUGAAAUCAGUCGAAGAUACCAGCUGGCUGCAACUGUUUAUUAAAAACACAGCACUGUGCAAACACGAAAGUGGACGUAUACGGUGUGACGCCUGCCCGGUGCCGGAAGGUUAAUUGAUGGGGUCAGCGCAAGCGAAGCUCUUGAUCGAAGCCCCGGUAAACGGCGGCCGUAACUAUAACGGUCCUAAGGUAGCGAAAUUCCUUGUCGGGUAAGUUCCGACCUGCACGAAUGGCGUAAUGAUGGCCAGGCUGUCUCCACCCGAGACUCAGUGAAAUUGAACUCGCUGUGAAGAUGCAGUGUACCCGCGGCAAGACGGAAAGACCCCGUGAACCUUUACUAUAGCUUGACACUGAACAUUGAGCCUUGAUGUGUAGGAUAGGUGGGAGGCUUUGAAGUGUGGACGCCAGUCUGCAUGGAGCCGACCUUGAAAUACCACCCUUUAAUGUUUGAUGUUCUAACGUGGACCCGUAAUCCGGGUUGCGGACAGUGUCUGGUGGGUAGUUUGACUGGGGCGGUCUCCUCCUAAAGAGUAACGGAGGAGCACGAAGGUUGGCUAAUCCUGGUCGGACAUCAGGAGGUUAGUGCAAUGGCAUAAGCCAGCUUGACUGCGAGCGUGACGGCGCGAGCAGGUGCGAAAGCAGGUCAUAGUGAUCCGGUGGUUCUGAAUGGAAGGGCCAUCGCUCAACGGAUAAAAGGUACUCCGGGGAUAACAGGCUGAUACCGCCCAAGAGUUCAUAUCGACGGCGGUGUUUGGCACCUCGAUGUCGGCUCAUCACAUCCUGGGGCUGAAGUAGGUCCCAAGGGUAUGGCUGUUCGCCAUUUAAAGUGGUACGCGAGCUGGGUUUAGAACGUCGUGAGACAGUUCGGUCCCUAUCUGCCGUGGGCGCUGGAGAACUGAGGGGGGCUGCUCCUAGUACGAGAGGACCGGAGUGGACGCAUCACUGGUGUUCGGGUUGUCAUGCCAAUGGCACUGCCCGGUAGCUAAAUGCGGAAGAGAUAAGUGCUGAAAGCAUCUAAGCACGAAACUUGCCCCGAGAUGAGUUCUCCCUGACCCUUUAAGGGUCCUGAAGGAACGUUGAAGACGACGACGUUGAUAGGCCGGGUGUGUAAGCGCAGCGAUGCGUUGAGCUAACCGGUACUAAUGAACCGUGAGGCUUAACCUUACAACGCCGAAGGUGUUU